AAGGAAGGGAUUCCACCAGGCCAGCAGAGGUUCAUCUUUGCUGGCAAACAACUUGAGGAUGGUCGCACGCUUGCAGACUACAACAUCCAGCAGAGAAGUACAGAUCCCUGAUGAACUUUUUGAGCAACAUGUUGAGAGAAGAAGGUGGAUUUGAAUACAAAAAAAGGCUAUCGUAGAUUCAAUAGUGAUCCUGAUCAGAGAUAUCCCUGAUGCCAAAGACAAUGGGUUGCAGAACAACCUUUUGAUAUUAACUCAGCUUGUGGUUGUUGAAUUGAUGUAUAAGUACUAAAAUACCCCUUAAUUUACCUCAAGUAAUAAAGAUUUAUUAUAACAAUAUUUAUUUUUAUAUUUUUUAAAAUUAAAUUGAAACGAUUUUUUUUUAAUUUCAUUAUCAUAACAAAGGACAAAACUACUUUGCAACCGUUGUACCAAACCCCCAAAUUUGGUAUUUUUUUUAACAGUCCCUAUUGUUUUCCGUAAAUAAUAAAAAUUAUAAGUUUUAAAAAUUUUAUGGAAUAAGCCCCAAUUAAAAUAUAAUAAUUUCAAAUUAAAAAAAAAAAUUUAGUGUUUUCUUUAGCAAUCCCUAUUGUUUUCUAUAAAUAAUAAAAACCAUAUGUUUUAAUAAUUUUAUGCAAUUAGCCCCAAUUAAAAUAUAAUAAUUUUCAAAUUCUAAAAAAAUUAUUCUCUCUAUCUCCUUCUCAAAUUAGUUUUCCUACUUUAAAUCUUAAUUUAUUCAUUAUCAAACAUAUAAUUCUUCUAAAACAUAAAAAAUAAGAGUCUUCUAAAAUAUCCCUGAUGCAAAAGACAAUGGGUUGCAGAACAACCUUUUGAUAUUAACUCAGCUUGUGGUUGUUGAAUUGAUGUAUAAGUACUAAAAUACCCCUUAAUUUACCUCAAGUAAUAAAGAUUUAUUAUAACAAUAUUUAUUUUUAUAUUUUUUAAAAUUAAAUUGAAACGAUUUUUUUUUAAUUUCAUUAUCAUAACAAAGGACAAAACUACUUUGCAACCGUUGUACCAAACCCCCAAAUUUGGUAUUUUUUUUAACAGUCCCUAUUGUUUUCCGU
rnacentral:lncRNA from 1 species